rnacentral:rRNA from 1 species
CAUCGCCUAAAGCUUUAAUUUUAGGUAAUGCCUGCCCAAUGAUUUUUAAUGGCCGCAGUAUCCUGACUGUGCAAAGGUAGCAUAAUCAUUUGUCUUUUAAUUGAAGGCUGGUAUGAAUGGCUUAACGGGGUGGGUGCUGUCCCCUUUAUACAACCUAAACUUAAUAUGUAAGUCAAAAAGCUUACCCUCUUUCGCAGGACGAGAAGACCCCGUAGAUCUUAAUGAAAAUUAACCUAUUCUUUUAGAAUUUACAUAGAGUAGAUUUUCGUAUCAUUUAGUUGGGGCGAUUAUAAACACUUCUUUACCAAACAUCAAUUAAUGGCUAGAUGACCCGCUCAGCGAUUUAAAGAGAAAGUUACCUCGGGGAUAACAGCGUAAUCUAGGUUAAGAGUCCUUAUCAAAACCUAGGGUUGCGACCUCGAUGUUGGAUUAAGAUUCAAAUUAAAUGCAGCAGUUUAAUUUUGGGGUCUGUUCGACCUUUAAAAUCUUACAUGAUCU